rnacentral:misc_RNA from 1 species
GAUGAAGAACGUAGAGAAAUGCGAUACGUAAUGUGAAUUGCAGAAUUCAGUGAAUCAUCGAGUCUUUGAACGCACAUUGCGCCCCCUGGUAUUCCGGGGGGCAUGCCUGUCCGAGCGUCAUUGCUGCCCUCAAGCACGGCUUGUGUGUUGGGCCUCCGUCCUCCUCCCGGGGGACGGGCCCGAAAGGCAGCGGCGGCACCGCGUCCGGUCCUCGAGCGUAUGGGGCUUCGUCACCCGCUCUUGUAGGCCCGGCCGGCGCUUGCCGACACAUCAAUCUUUUUUCCAGGUUGACCUCGGAUCAGGUAGGGAUACCCGCUGAACUUAAGCAUAUCAAUAAGCGGAGGA